rnacentral:lncRNA from 1 species
UAUUGAUUUAACUACAAAACUAGUUAGAUCUAAGUUACAUAUCACAUAUAUAAUUUCAGAUCUAACUUAUACAUGCUUUGCAUACAUCUCAUGUAUUAAAAUCUGAUCUAAUUAGCAUGCUUUCAGAUCUGAUACAUCACAUGUAACAUCUAAAAACUAAGAUUUAAAUUAAACUAUUCAAUAUAAAAUCUAUUCUAGACAGUUACUAGAAUAAUUCUACAACUA